GGCGCACGGAGCGCUCCCGCGCAGGCCCGCGCCGGGCAGCCGCCCUCAGCAAUCGCACAGCGCACUGCCCGCCACGGCCUGCAGCCAGAGAACAAGCUCGUUUAAAAAGAAAAUAUGUUCUUAAGAGUCAUCUACAGACAUUUCAGCAGACGAAUCAGUGAAGCUGACAUGACCAGGCACCACCAACACCUUCUCCUGCCCAUGACACUUUGAGGUCCUUCAUAAAAGAUUCCAUUACUAGCACAUGUAAUCUUACCUUGAAGUGUGACACAAUUAACUGCUGAAAGUUUUACACUGUCAUUAGAGCUCUUAGGGUAUGAUGCACAAAGCUGCUGGAACAGACACAGGCUCCAGUAUCCUCGUGGACUCGAUUUGGAGUGGGGCUGCUGUCUCUCAGUACAGUGUUCCUCACAGCAACUGUUCUUCACUUCUUUACUGACAGUAAAGGAAAAAAGUAUGCCAAAUGGUGUUGCUAUGAACAAGGUUAUAUAUUGUUCUAACUAGUUCUACCUUUUUGGAAUAAAAGUUCUUAAAUCUG